rnacentral:rRNA from 1 species
CCUACGGGGGGCAGCAGUGGGGAAUAUUGGACAAUGGGGGCAACCCUGAUCCAGCCAUGCCGCGUGUGUGAAGAAGGCCCUCGGGUUGUAAGCACUUUCAGUGAGGAAGAACGCCUGGUGGUUAAUACCCAUCAGGAAAGACAUCACUCACAGAAGAAGCACCGGCUAACUCCGUGCCAGCAGCCGCGGUAAUACGGAGGGUGCGAGCGUUAAUCGGAAUUACUGGGCGUAAAGCGCGCGUAGGUGGCUUGAUAAGCCGGUUGUGAAAGCCCCGGGCUCAACCUGGGAACGGCAUCCGGAACUGUCAAGCUAGAGUGCAGGAGAGGAAGGUAGAAUUCCCGGUGUAGCGGUGAAAUGCGUAGAGAUCGGGAGGAAUACCAGUGGCGAAGGCGGCCUUCUGGACUGACACUGACACUGAGGUGCGAAAGCGUGGGUAGCAAACAGGAUUAGAUACCCGUGUAGUC